UUUGGCAUGAGGGAGUGAAUAUGAAUCGGAUAAGAAUUUCCAGGUCCAUUCUCAAUAUUAUGAGAACAUCCAGUUCCAAAUAAAUCCCAUAUUUCAUCCCUUUCAUACCAAUUACAUCAGCAGAAAUGAUCUUUACAAAAAACACACUGACAAAAUGGAUUCAUCUUCAACCAGUCAUUUUCAAAUUAGACACAAGACAACUCUUCUAACGGUAAAUGCCAUGAAUUUUCAUUCUAUUGCCACCCAUACCUAUGUACAUCCCAAAAAUUACGUUUUUCAUUCGAUUCCUGCCAUAGUAUUUCAAGUGCCACUUUGUUCAUGAUUCCAAAUGCCACAAGCAACAGGUGUACAUGGGGUUUGGGGGCUUUCUUGUGAAAGAGAUCUUUAUUUUUUACCACCACCACUCCCAUCUUAAGUUUUGUGCCUUUUUCUAUUUUUUAUUAAAUCUUAUUCAAAUUUUCAUUUGAUCAACAGUGGGUUAACAAGUUAAAACCACUACUCUUCUCUUGUAAUAGUUUGUAAGAUUUUAUUCUAACAUGAGCAUGAGAUUUUAUAAUUCCAUCAAGACGUGUAUUUUAUUGUUGCAGUCACUGUUAUUGGACCCAUGUUCAAACAGCCAGGUCAAGCCAGAAUUCGCAACCCAUCUACCAUACCGGUCCAGUUGGAAGCAAUCAACCAGUUUCUGCCCGCAAAACAGUUAAACCUAUACACCCAAUGGGUUAUGCAAAGAUCAAAGAGUCGUCCAGGAUGAGAGAACUGGUCCAUAAAUACAUGUUCAACAUGUUUCCACUGGUCCAAGAAACAUAUUUUAUUGCUGCAGUCACUGUUAUUGGACCCAGGCUCAAACAGCCAGGUCAAACCAGAAUUCAUCACCCAUCUAUCCUACCAGUCCAGUUGGAAGUAAUAAACCAGUUUGUCCACAAAACAGUUGAACCUAUAUAUACCCAACAGGUUAUGCAAAGAUCAGAGAGUUGGUUCAGGAUGAGUGAACUGUUCCAUAAAUACUUGUUCAACAUGUUUCCACUGGUCCAUUCUUAUAUAUUUGCUAAGUGAAAAUCUAAUCGAUCUAAGUUGACAU
rnacentral:lncRNA from 1 species